UUCCUUGGGAAAGGUGAAGGACACCAGCUGGGCCAACCUCCAGCCUCCAGUAUGCAAAUAAAGUCUUAGAAAGCACUUAGUCAAACUGCUGUACAAGUAUAUAACUCCUUUAUGGAAACCACUUACACUCCUAUCGCCAUUAAUCUAUCGAGAUAAACAUUCGUCUUAAGUCUCUGAAGAAUUUACAUGAACAAACGUCAAGGCCGAGGAGAAAGCAGAAAGCGUCUGGAUUUAGCUACGGUGAUGGAGCUGUGGAUUUGUCUGCAUGAAGACGGUGAUGGAGCUGUGGAUUUGUCUGCAUGAAGACGGUGAUGGAGCUGUGGAUUUGUCUGCAUGAAGACGGUGAUGGAGCUGUGGAUUUGUCUGCAUGAAGACGGUGAUGGAGCUGUGGUUCAAAUCCCAAGAUGAGCUUGUACUGUACUACAAUGGAGGUCCUAGAUUGUGUUGUUUUUAUGACUUUGUAGGGUACAUUUUAUAUAACUGCUAACUGGAUUUAUGUUCUUCACUUCACUGUAUUUUCUGUUGUAUCUUUACCCAAAUAUCGGAUGCAUGCACUGACGGAUCUACGCACCGAACUAUCAUUUACAUUCCAAAAUGUUAUCAAGUAAGAUUAUUCCGAAGAGGAGAACCCACGUAACCUGCUAUAGCCGGGGAAAAGAAAUCUCAUUGUAUCACGCUCUGUAGAUCAACAACAGGUCAGGUAUGCGGGAAAACAUGUGGCCUGAGCUGAGGGUGGUCCUUGUACGCUGAAGAUCUAAGAGAUUCUAGAGUGUUUUCUGGACAGGAAACAUAUCCUUGUUGGAAAUCCCUACUGUAUCUCCAACUGUUGUGAGGCAGCAGAUGAUGGCUUCCUCUCCUUGCCCAGCUUGCAUCUGUUGUAGACUGGAGGGCAUAAAAGCUCUUAACAAAACACAUGUGGUCUCCUAAUGCUUUGGGGAUAGCAUUAACUCUUCUCCGACUGGGAACGUACAGCAUUUUCCCAAUGUCCCUAAUAAAUCUAAGUCACUUA